ACGGUGGCCCUUAGGUGCGAAACACAACAGAAAAUCAGAAAACACAACUACAAAAAGAGAAAAUACAGUGGUUAAUCUCUGUAUGUUUUCUAAUUUGCUGUUAUGUUUUGCACCUCAGGGCCACCAUA